GAUGAAGAACGCAGCGAAAUGCGAUAAGUAGUGUGAAUUGCAGAAUUCAGUGAAUCAUCGAAUCUUUGAACGCACAUUGCGCCCCUUGGUAUUCCAUGGGGCAUGCCUGUUCGAGCGUCAUUUGUACCUUCAAGCUUUGCUUGGUGUUGGGUGUUUGUCUCGCCUUUGCGUGUAGACUCGCCUUAAAAUAAUUGGCAGCCGGCGUAUUGAUUUCGGAGCGCAGUACAUCUCGCGCUUUGCACUCAUAACGACAGCGUCCAAAAGUACAUUUUACACUCUUGACCUCGGAUCAGGUAGGGAUACCCGCUGAACUUAAGCAUAUCAAUAAGCGGAGG
rnacentral:misc_RNA from 1 species